rfam:Asian citrus Psyllid, Diaphorina citri - Florida Strain, whole genome shotgun sequence.
GCCUAGUUAGCUUAGUUGGUAGUGCGUCUGCCUUGUAAGCGCUAGACCGUGGGUUUGAUUCCCGCCCGGGGCG